rnacentral:rRNA from 1 species
GGAUUAGAUACCCUGGUAGUCCACGCCGUAAACGAUGGAUGCUAGCUGUUGGGGCUUACAGCUUCAGUGGCGCAGCUAACGCGUUAAGCAUCCCGCCUGGGGACUACGGCCGCAAGGUUAAAACUCAAAGGAAUUGACGGGGACCCGCACAAGUGGUGGAGCAUGUCGUUUAAUUCGAUGAUACGCGAAAAACCUUACCAGGGCUUGAAAUGCUCAUCGUACCAUCCCGAAAAGGAUGGGUCAGUUCGGCUGGAUGAUGCACAGGUGUUGCAUGGCUGUCGUCAGCUCGUGUUG